rnacentral:rRNA from 1 species
UGGGGAAUAUUGGACAAUGGGCGCAAGCCUGAUCCAGCCAUGCCGCGCGUGUGUAGAAGGCCCUUUGGUUGUUAAGCACUUUAAGCGAGGAGGAGGCUACUGAGAUUAAUACUCUUGGAUUGUGGACGUUACUCGCAGAAUAAGCACCGGCUAACUCUGUGCCAGCAGCCGCGGUACUACAGAGGGUGCGAGCGUUAAUCGGAUUUACUGGGCGUAAAGCGUGCGUAGGCGGCUUCUUAAGUCGGAUGUGAAAUCCCUGAGCUUAACUUAGGAACUGAAUUCGAUACUGGGAAGCUAGAGUAUGGGAGAGGAUGGUAGAAUUCCAGGUGUAGGGGAGAAAUGCGUAGAGAUCAGGAAGAAUACCGAGGGCGAAGGCAGCCAUCUGGCCUAAUACUGACGCUGGGGUACGAAAGCAUGGGGAGCAAACAAG